GAAAUGCGAUAAGUAGUGUGAAUUGCAGAAUUCAGUGAAUCAUCGAAUCUUUGAACGCACAUUGCGCCCUAUGGUAUUCCGUAGGGCAUGCCUGUUCGAGCGUCAUUUACACCUUCAAGCCUUGCUUGGUGUUGGGUGACUGUGGCCCCUUUGGGGCCACUCGCCUUAAAGUCAUUGGCGGCCGGUUCGUUGGCUUUGUAGCGCAGCACAAUUGCGUCCUCGAAGCCGCUGGACCAGCUCCCAGAAGCUAAUUUUAAAUGUUUGACCUCGAAUCAGGUAGGGAUACCCGCUGAACUUCAGC
rnacentral:misc_RNA from 1 species